rnacentral:rRNA from 1 species
UUGAUCCCAUGGCUCAGAUUGAACGCUGGCGGCAGGCCUAACACAUGCAAGUCGAGCGGUAGAGAGAAGCUUGCUUCUCUUGAGAGCGGCGGACGGGUGAGUAAUGCCUAGGAAUCUGCCUGGUAGUGGGGGAUAACGCUCGGAAACGGACGCUAAUACCGCAUACGUCCUACGGGAGAAAGCAGGGGACCUUCGGGCCUUGCGCUAUCAGAUGAGCCUAGGUCGGAUUAGCUAGUUGGUGAGGUAAUGGCUCACCAAGGCGACGAUCCGUAACUGGUCUGAGAGGAUGAUCAGUCACACUGGAACUGAGACACGGUCCAGACUCCUACGGGAGGCAGCAGUGGGGAAUAUUGGACAAUGGGCGAAAGCCUGAUCCAGCCAUGCCGCGUGUGUGAAGAAGGUCUUCGGAUUGUAAAGCACUUUAAGUUGGGAGGAAGGGCAUUAACCUAAUACGUUGGUGUCUUGACGUUACCGACAGAAUAAGCACCGGCUAA